rnacentral:rRNA from 1 species
UCCGGAUUUAUUGGGCGUAAAGGGCUCGUAGGCGGCUCGUCGCGUCCGGUGUGAAAGUCCAUCGCUUAACGGUGGAUCUGCGCCGGGUACGGGCGGGCUGGAGUGCGGUAGGGGAGACUGGAAUUCCCGGUGUAACGGUGGAAUGUGUAGAUAUCGGGAAGAACACCGAUGGCGAAGGCAGGUCUCUGGGCCGUCACUGACGCUGAGGAGCGAAAGCGUGGGGAGCGAACAGGAUUAGAUACCCUGGUAGUCCACGCCGUAAACGGUGGACGCUGGAUGUGGGGCACGUUCCACGUGUUCCGUGUCGGAGCUAACGCGUUAAGCGUCCCGCCUGGGGAGUACGGCCGCAAGGCUAAAACUCAAAGAAAUUGACGGGGGCCCGCACAAGCGGCGGAGCAUGCGGAUUAAUUCGAUGCAACGCGAAGAACCUUACCUGGGCUUGACAUGUUCCCGACGACGCCAGAGAUGGCGUUUCCCUUCGGGGCGGGUUCACAGGUGGUGCAUGGUCGUCGUCAGCUCGUGUCGUGAGAUGUUGGGUUAAGUCCCGCAACGAGCGCAACCCUCGCCCCGUGUUGCCAGCACGUCAUGGUGGGAACUCACGGGGGACCGCCGGGGUUAACUCGAAGGAAGGUGGGGAUGACGUCAAAUCUCAUGCCCCUU